rnacentral:rRNA from 1 species
GAUUAUGGCUCAGGAUGAACGCUGGCGGCGUGCUUAACACAUGCAAGUUGUGCGGUGAUCUCAAGAAGUUUCGGACGGAAAGGGAGAGCAGCAGCGGACGGGUGAGUAAAGCACAAGGACUUGUCCCGAAGAGGGGGACAACUGUGGGAAACCACAGCUAAUACCCCAUAAGCCGAGAGGUGAAAGCAGUAAUGCGCUUUAGGAGAGACUUGUGUCCUAUCAGGUAGUUGGUGAGGUAACGGCUCACCAAGCCGAAGACGGGUAGCCGGACUGAGAGGUUGUACGGCCACAUUGGAACUGAGAGACGGUCCAGACUCCUACGGGAGGCAGCAGUGGGGAAUAUUGGGCAAUGGGGGCAACCCUGACCCAGCGACGCCGCGUGAGGGAAGACAGCCUUCGGGUUGUAAACCUCUGUUGCAGGGGAAGAAGAAAGUGACGGUACCCUGCGAGGAAGCUCCGGCAAACUACGUGCCAGCCGCCGC